AGAACGAACGCUGGCGGCAUGCCUAACACAUGCAAGUCGAACGAGACCUUCGGGUCUAGUGGCGCACGGGUGCGUAACGCGUGGGAAUCUGCCCUUAGGUACGGAAUAACAGUGAGAAAUUACUGCUAAUACCGUAUGAUGUCUUCGGACCAAAGAUUUAUCGCCUAGGGAUGAGCCCGCGUUGGAUUAGCUAGUUGGUGGGGUAAAGGCCUACCAAGGCGACGAUCCAUAGCUGGUCUGAGAGGAUGAUCAGCCACACUGGGACUGAGACACGGCCCAGACUCCUACGGGAGGCAGCAGUGGGGAAUAUUGGACAAUGGGCGAAAGCCUGAUCCAGCAAUGCCGCGUGAGUGAAGAAGGCCUUAGGGUUGUAAAGCUCUUUUACCCGGGAAGAUAAUGACUGUACCGGGAGAAUAACGCCCGGCUAACUCCGUGCCAGCAGCCGC
rnacentral:rRNA from 1 species